GUAGCCCAGUGUUAGAGCAUCUGUGCUAAAUGCAGAAGGUCUUGGGUUCAACUCCCGGCAUCUACA